rnacentral:lncRNA from 12 species
CUCAGUAGGUAACACAUGCAACUCUGGAUCUGGGGGUUGUGAAUUCGAGACCCACAUUGGGUGUAGAGAUUACUUAAAAAAUAAAACUUUUAAAAAAAUCUGUUUUUAAAAAAAUAGACUGUUUUUUAAAAACCCUCUCAUUUAUCUGCUCUAAUUUCGACCAUUAUUAACUUGAGGUCAGUUUCUUUUCAUCUAUACUCCCAUGUGCUCUCCCCUCCUCAUAUUAUUUUGAAGCAGAUCCCAGGCACCAUUUUUUUUUUAAACAUUUUACUUAUUUAUUCCUAAGAGACACACAGGGAGAGGCAGAGACACAGGCAGAGAGAGAAGCAGGCUCCCUGCGGGGAACCUGAUGUGGGACUCCAUCCCAGGACUUCAGGAUCAUGCCCUGAGCUGAAGGCAGAUGCUCAACCACUGAGGGGACUCAGGUGUCCCCUCCAGGCACCUUUAAUACAGAAUUUAAAAUAGAAUUCGUGGUGCGGCAGUCGACAGCCUGGUCCUGGCUGUGAGACACCCACACUGGGUUCUCCAGCCUCCUUGGACAUGUUGUGGCAUGAUACCUUGGAGUAAAUCUCUCUCUGCUUAAAUUUUUCCCUAAGAACCUCAACUAUUGUGUUCACAGCUGACAUGGACCUUUAGUGACAAGACUUCUGAUGGAGCUGUGGAUAUCUGAAAAGCAGUGUUAGAGACUCUCCCAUCCUUAAUGAUGGAAACCCAGAACCUUCCUGGAGGCCGUAUAUAAAUUUAAACCUGUUCCAGAUGAAGAUGGAUUAUAGGAGGAGGCAUGCCUUCCCAGGGGAGACAUCCCCCCACCCCCGCAAUGGACAACCUGGACGGGCACCAGGAGGCAGGAUCUUUGGGAACCGCUUUGGAAACGGCCUCCUGCAGUGGUCAAGCUAAAAUCAGGGAACAGACAGGUCAGACCGUGGGUGGUCGAGGGAGGGUGGAUGCUGGACCAUCAGGCCAGCGCCUGGGGACCUGUCAUCAUGGGAAUGCCACAGACCAAGAGAUCCAGUUCAUCUCUUACCCCCAAAGUCUCCCUUUUCCCUUGAGUCGUUUCUCAUGUUGGCUUCCAGGAAUACUGGAUAUAUCUUUCCCCAGGCCACCUCCCAGCAAGAGAUGCCAUGGCCCAGAUCUGGCCAACGAGAUAGAAAAGGAAAUCUGUGAGAGGUGUCUGAGAAAUGUUUCCUUCUUGGUAAGAGAGAUGUUUGAAAAGAUUCCCUCAUUUGGUGCUCUGGUGUAAAGAUGAGGUGCCUGGAGCUGGAGCAGCCACGUUGCCACCAUGAGGGAAGAGCCACAUGGACUGCAGAGACUGGGACUCCAGUACCUUGAUAUUAGUGAUCACUGACACACUGGUCCUAUCCUGAAACCUGUCUACCUCUUGCCUUCUCAUUAACUAAAUAACUCAAUUCUUUUCAUUUUAAAGUGACUAUAGGUCUCUAUGCUACUUACAACCAAAAGUAUCAUAAGUGUCUUAAAAGUAGCUUGAGUAACAUCAUAAACAAAAGAAUCCUUAUGGGGCCUCCUAGCUGGCUAAGUCAGUAGAGCAUGAGGUUUUUUGUCUCGGGGUCCUGAGUUCAAGCUUCAGGUUUGGUGCAGAGCUUACUUACAAACAGAAACAAAGGAAGAAAGAAUUCCUUUUUUAUUUUUUAAGAUUUUAUGUAUUUAUUUAUAAGAGACACAGAGGCAGAGACACAGGCAGAAGGAGAAGCAGGCUCCCUGUGGGGAGCCUGACACGGGACUCGAUCCCAGGACCCCGGGAUCAUGCCCUGAGCUGAAAGCAGAUGCCUAACUGCUGAGCCACCCAGAUGUCCCGGAAGAAAGAAUUCUUGCAAAAUAACAAAUUCCUAUUUCAAAGGUGAAGAAGCUGGAAGAAAUGUGGUAGGAGUUUUGAGGAUUCAUUACCUAUUUUAUUUUUAAAGACUUUAUUUAUUUAUGCAUGAGAGAGAGAGAGAGGCAGAGACACAGGCAGAGGGAGAAUCAGGCUCCAUGCAGGGAGCCUGACGUGGGGCUCGAUCCCAGGAUGCCCUGGACCACACCCUGGGCUGAAGGUGGCACUAAACCGCUGAGCCAUUGGGGCUGCCUUCAUUACCUAUUUUAAUCCUCAUAAAAACUCUGUGGGGCAGGUUUUAGCUCUACUUUCAGAAUUUAUUUUAUUUUAUUUUAUUUUAUUUUAUUUUAUUUUAUUUUAUUUUAUUUUAUUUUAUUUUAUUUAUUUUAGAGAGAGUGCACCAGCAGGGGGG